rnacentral:rRNA from 1 species
GUGGGGAAUUUUGGACAAUGGGCGCAAGCCUGAUCCAGCAAUGCCGCGUGCAGGAAGAAGGCCUUCGGGUUGUAAACUGCUUUUGUACGGAACGAAACGGUCUGGGUUAAUACCCUGGACUAAUGACGGUACCGUAAGAAUAAGCACCGGCUAACUACGUGCCAGCAGCCGCGGUAAUACGUAGGGUGCAAGCGUUAAUCGGAAUUACUGGGCGUAAAGCGUGCGCAGGCGGUUUUGUAAGACAGGCGUGAAAUCCCCGGGCUCAACCUGGGAAUUGCGCUUGUGACUGCAAGGCUGGAGUGCGACAGAGGGGGAUGGAAUUCCGCGUGUAGCAGUGAAAUGCGUAGAUAUGCGGAGGAACACCGAUGGCGAAGGCAAUCCCCUGGGCCUGCACUGACGCUCAUGCACGAAAGCGUGGGGAGCAAACAGGAUUAGAAACCCUUGUAGUCC